AUUGAACGCUGGCGGCAGGCCUAACACAUGCAAGUCGAACGAGUGGCGGACGGGUGAGUAAUGUCUGGGACUCUUCCUUAUGGAUGGGGAUAACUACUGGAAACUGUCGCUAAUACCGCGUACCAUAGGAUGAGCCCAAGUGGGAUUAGGUAGUUGGUGAGGUAAAGGCUCACCAAGCCGACGAUCUCUAGCUGGUCUGAGAGGAUGACCAGCCACACUGGAACUGAGACACGGGCCAGACUCCUACGGGAGGCAGCAGUGGGGAUUAUUGCGCAAUGGGGGCAAGCUGAAGCAGCCAUGCCGCGUGAAUGAAGAAGGCCUUCGGGUUGUAAAGUACUUUCAGUAGGGAGGCGUUAACUACAGAAGAAGCACCGGCUAACUCCGUGCCAGCCGCCGCGGUAAUUC
rnacentral:rRNA from 1 species